rnacentral:lncRNA from 10 species
GGAGCUUGGUGCGGAGGGCAGUGCUUCCUAUGAGAAAAAGUCCAGUGGUCAAUCUUUUGGGAAGGAGCUGGUGGGAUGAGGGGGCAGCUGGACUGACCUGAGUGCUGUUGUACUGUCUGACCAUCUCCUUUGUAAACAGACGCUCCACACUCAUGCUCAGAGCAGCAUUAUUCACAGCAGCCAGGAGGGGGACGUCGCCCAGGUGUUCCUCGGUGGAUGAAUGGAUAAAGAAAAUGUAAACACACAGUGGAAUCUUACUCAGCCUUGAAAAGGAAGGAAAGUCCAUCCAACACAUGCUACUGCAUGGACGAACUUUGGACAGUGAGCUAAGUGAAAGGAGACAGUCACAAAAGGACAAAUACCAGAUGAUCCCACCUGCGCGAGAUGAUGUAGGCCUGACAUAAUCACAAGAGCCCUUACAAGAGAGAGGCAGGAGGCCAGAGGCAGAGAGCUACACUGCGGAGCUGCUUUGCAGAUGGAGGAAGGGGCCACCGAGACCUGAGAAAGUCAAGGAGACAGAUUCUCCCCUGGAGCCUCCAGAGGGAACCAGCCCUGCUCACACCGUCAUUUCAGCCCUGCAAGACUUGUUUGGGCUUCUGACGUCAAGAACUGGGACAGAAUGAAUUUGUGAUGUUUUAGGCCACUAGAUCUGUGGUAAUGUGUUAUAGCAGAAAUAGGAAACUAACACAACUCAUCUCUACUUGUGUAUAUGUUUGUUAUCCGUCUUCCUCUGCUGGGACAUGAAAUCCGCAACAAGUGGAGGCAAAGCCAGGGACUUUGUCUAUUAUGUUGACUGGCAUCCUUAGUGCUCAGAACAGAGCUCAGAAUAAUAAAUAUUUGUUGAAUGAGCAAAGACGGAGGGGGCAGUCGCAGGAAGGGGGCCUACCGCGUG